GCAAGUCGAACGAGACGACCUUAAGAAGACUGAGUGCUUGCACGAAGUGGAAGAAGAUCAUCGUCUAGUGGCAGACGGGUGGAGUAACACGUGGGUAACCACCUUUAAGUUGGGGAUAACAGUUGGAAACGACAGCUAAUACCGAAUAAGAUAUUCGGUAUAGAAGAAGCCUUUAAGCUUCGCUUAGAGAUGGGCCUGCGGCGUAUUAACUAGUUGGUGAGGGUAAUGGCUCACCAAGGUAACGAUGCGUAGCCGAACUGAGAGGUUGAACGGCCACACUGGGACUGAGACACGGCCCAGACUCCUACGGGAGACAGCAGUUAGGAAUAUUCGGUCAAUGGGGGGAAACCCUGAACGAGCAAUGCCGCGUGAAGUGAUGAAGGCCCUUAGGGUUGUAAAACUCUGUUGUAUGGGAAGAACGGCUAAAUUAGGAAAUGAAGUUUAGAGUGACGGUACCAUACCAGAAAGCUCCGGCUAACUACGUGCCAGCAGCCGC
rnacentral:rRNA from 1 species